UAUCUUUCGAAAAAGCCUCUUUUGAAAGAGACUUGCAGUCUAGACAUAGCCCAAGUGUCCACAUGGGGGAGUGACAGCAUGUUACUGUGGUGUAUAGUAGAGUUGGACAACAUAGACUUGGUUAAAGAGUCAGAAUGUAGGAGAUGCAAAGGCAGCUUUGCAAACCAGGUGUCCUGGAGCUGAGUACAGCUCUGCUAGAGUAGAGACUCUGGCCUAAGCUAAAGAAUUUGAAGUCUAAAGGUGAGGCCAUGCCUUUGUCUAUGUGGUGCCUAAUAUGUUUUUGAUCCGAAUAUAACAAUUAGGCCAUCUGCCAGAAACAGUCAUGAGAAAUGCCACUUGUCAUGGGGGGAUAAUGAAGAUGGGAAACAAUGGAGAGCUUUUCUUGGGACAGAAGAAUUGGACUUAGUUCAUUAAGAUAAUUUAAUUAGCAAUCUAUGAAAUUACUUCAGACUCUUGGUUCAGGGACCAAAAUUGAAAUUUACUUUGGUUUGGAAGCCAGAGUCAUGAACUGAGUGAAAAUUAUCCAGUCUAUUAUCAGGAAUAUUCAGUAUUCCUCCCUCUUCUUCACUGCCUCCACUUUGGACCAUUUACAGUGCAUCAUCUGAGGGUAGGAAUGUUAAAAUGUGUGCAGUAAAGUAUCUGUGUAUCCACUAUCAGAGGCCACAGUGCAGGGUGGCAGGCGGUUCCCCAGAGCCAGCUGCCUGCACGUAUCGGGCGUCUGUGUGUAAAUAUGAACAUUAACCCAUAAGCCCAGGCUCAUUGAGUAACCAUGUACAUGGUUAAAAUUUCAAAUCCCUAACUGGAGCAUGGGAAACCGUUAAACCCUUAUUGCUGUUGAAGAAGUAGAAAAUUAAAGGGAAGCCAUAGUCUAGAAUGGUAGAGAUUGGAGGCGGGAGGAAGAAAGAACACAUUUUAAAAAACCAAGUUUUAACUCUAUUUUAAAAAGUUCUAACCCUGGAGUUUUUAGUACCUUGUGUUUAGCAGAAAGCAGGGUGGAGUAGAGGGAACAUUACCAACUUCCUUAAUUGAUUUUUCUUCCUAUCUGUAAAUAUCACCACACAUAAUGUGGCAGACUUGUGCCGCAAAUUGUGGUUUUUUUUAAAGUGUUGUUAGUUCCAAGUUACCAAUGUCUCUGUUUAUGUUAAUGCAAGGUCAUCUUGUUCUUGGAAUGAAAUUGCUUCAUCAUCAGCUCUUUAGGGAAUAUGAAGUUCAUACGAAAUCUCAGCUUCCUUUUUCAAAAGGGAAAAGCUGUCAGUAUGCUUUUCUGGGAGUCUCUUCUUCCCUCCCUCAUCCCUCAAUUUGCAGCAUGGGGUGGAGCUUAUUGUUGCAAACCAAACAUCUUAAGUUCCAGCUUGAGUAUUCAUUUUCCUCCUACCAGUUAAUUGAUUUUUGGGCUGUCCCAACUUGUCUGUAGAGUGAAUAAGCCAAGAACUGUGCAGGGAAAAGGACUGAGUUCUCUGUCACUAGAGUUGACAGCAUUCAAAGGUGUGUGCUUUGUGGAACUUUUGGACAAGUCUGAAUUCAAGAUUCCGGUGUCUUUUCUUAAAUGCAUUGUUGCUGUUGAGAAGGGGACCAACAUGACUCUACUAGAACCAGAGAAGCUGAUGAUGGCAGUCCAAUCAGCUGACCGUGGCAGCUCCACAUAGCAAAUGCUUUCCUGCUUGGACCACUGUGAAUAUGCUGGAUCUGUGAAGAGGAGGCUGUGCAGUCCCAGCUAUAGGAAUUUCAAUCUUUAUGGAAAGGUAGCACAAAAAGGGCUCUGAUCAGGAUGCGCUGCAGUGCAGAGAAAAGAUUAAGGAGUUGAGGCACACAUCAGAAGGCAAGGGAGAUAAACUGUCACUCCUGUGCUGUGUCCAGACUUGCCGUUUUUUAUAGAGUUGUAUGCUGUCCUCUGCUGUGACCACAUCUCUACUGCCAAAAGUGUUAUGGAUAUUUUGAUGGUGCUAAAUCCAGCAGAAAGUGGGCCUAGCUUGGAGGACAAAUUCAUUGACAAAGAGGAUGCGGCAUGUGACAGUGUGGUGCAAACAGCAGGGUCGCCUAGUAGUUGAUCCAGUCAGGAUUGUUCGCCGUUCCAGAGAUGUCUCAGCAAUUGCAAUCCUGAGAGCAAGAAGCAGGAGAGGAGAUUCUUGAUGUGACCUUGAGGCACCCUCUACACAAUGAUGGAGUGCCAGUACCAAUAAGAAAGUGCCUGGGAUGGAGCAAGAAAGACUUGUUCCUGGAGGUGAUUCAAUGCUCAGUUGCUGAAAACAGGGAACACAGACACUGAAAGGAAAUUGAAGGCAAGACAGACAAAGAAAUUGAGGCCUACAUUAGGGAUGCAAAGGAGAAAAUGAUUAAAGAUAUGGAGAAGCAAAUAGAGAUUUAUAGUGUCUUAUAACACCCAAGAUUCAGCAGAUUUGUGCCCGCUUUCCCCUUCAGCACAUUCAGAACUCCCUCCCCAUACUUCACCUCCAAGUUCCUUUCUUCUCUAUGGGACUUCUCUCUAUCCUUUUUGUUCCAUUUGCCUGGACGUCUUUGGGACUUAAGUACAUCUCUUGAAAUUCAGCCCUCUGCCUUGGUACCUCCUCUUCCUUUAAAUAUAUAUGUGUGUGUGUGUGUGUAUAAUUUGUUGUCGUUUUUGUGCAAUAAAAGCAACAUUUUAAAAUAAAUCAUUAUUUCUCUCCUGCAAAUUGUGAUAGCAGAUGACUGUGGUGGUGUUGAAUUUUUGAGAUGACCAUACUAUACAUGGUUGCAACCACUAUUACAAUUGCAACAAAUACAAAGUGGGCCAAAUAAGUUGUCUAUGAAGAGCUUGUAAUUCACUGUAAUUCUGUUUGUUCUGCUUGUAUGCAUGUAUCAUUUUUGUAUUUGAAGUUAUGAGACUUGGCUUAGUACUUGGAUUUCAAAUGUUUGCUUCUGACUGACAGAUCAGUUGUUGUGGUCCACCUAUUGUGAAAGGAUUGCUAGUCAAGUGAAUAAAAGUACUUGGUUGACAACUUUGCUGUGAACGUUCAGACCAGCAUGCAAGGGAUGGCUGUUUGCUAAAUAAGGACCGAGUCAUGCAUGGGGACAUGCUUUCAUACAGCAAGACCAAUACAAUUCCCUCUACAUAGGCAAGCAUAUAAAAAGGACCCUGAGAGCACCUCCAUUUUGUCUUUAUUCCAGUUCAUCAUUUCUGAAGCAUCUUUGCUAUGAAUUGAGCCUGAUGUUCCAUCCUAACAGAGGAUGUAUUCCAGAGACUUACAAAACAGCAGACUAUUCCACCUCUGCUACAAUUCUGCACCAAGAACUUUGCAAUUGGUGUACGUAACUUGAUUCCUUUAACAAUUUUCCUCUCAUCAAUUCCUUUCCUUUUAUUAAUAAACCUUUAGAUUUUAGAUGCUAAAGAAUUGGCACAGUGUGGUCUUUUGGGUAAGAUCUGAGGCAUAAAUUGAUCUGGGAAUGUCUGGUCCUUUAGAACUGGAAGAACCUGUUUGGAUUUUGUGAAGCUGGUUUUAAUAACCUCUCAUCUGUAUAAGGAGUGGUACUGGUGGUGAAAAAGGAAAGCUGGAGUGUCUAAGGGUUUUGCUUGUAUGACUUGUUUCAGGCCAGUGUAGUGAACAGAAGUGCUCUUUUUGUGACUGAUUUGGUGUGCCUUAUAAUGAAGGACCCCAAUCUUGGGCUAAGUAGCCUUGUCUGUAAAAUAACUUGUCCUCUCAGCGGUGCCCCCAAGGAAUCACCUAUAUUAUGAUGAGAGCAACAGAUAAACAAGCAUUUAAAUAAUUUGCUCACAUAGAAUUCUAGGCCACAAAAAUCUCAAAUGCUUCCUUGCAAAACUCUGAUUUCAUUAAUCACUGUAGUCCAGAGCCUAGCAACAUUAAUUAUUUGCUCUUAUGUUCAAAAUGGUAUUUCAAAUCCUUCAUGAUUCGAAUAGUCCCCUUUUGUGGCCCUCUAAAGCAUUCGUGGCUGUCUCUCGAAAUCACCUGCCAAGUGUUAUGUCUCAGCAGUCCACCCCUCAGCAAACUUAUUUCCCCUACAUUCACAGAUAUUGUGCAAUGUGCAACACACAGCAACGACCAUGGGAAUAUUAUCAUUGAGGUCAAAUCUGCCAUAAAGGCAUUGCUAGUGUACCUUUAAUCUGCCAAAUGCACAUUCUACUGUCACCCUGCACCUACUCAACCUACGGUUGAACCACUCCUUACUGCUAUCCAAGUUUCUUGAGUAAGGCUGUAUCUAAACUACAUCCCUUUUUUGGUAAAGGCAUGUAAAUU